rnacentral:rRNA from 1 species
AUUGAACGCUGGCGGCAGGCCUAACACAUGCAAGUCGAGCGGUAGCACAGAGAGCUUGCUCUCGGGUGACGAGCGGCGGACGGGUGAGUAAUGUCUGGGAAACUGCCUGAUGGAGGGGGAUAACUACUGGAAACGGUAGCUAAUACCGCAUAAUGUCGCAAGACCAAAGUGGGGGACCUUCGGGCCUCAUGCCAUCAGAUGUGCCCAGAUGGGAUUAGCUAGUAGGUGGGGUAACGGCUCACCUAGGCGACGAUCCCUAGCUGGUCUGAGAGGAUGACCAGCCACACUGGAACUGAGACACGGUCCAGACUCCUACGGGAGGCAGCAGUGGGGAAUAUUGCACAAUGGGCGCAAGCCUGAUGCAGCCAUGCCGCGUGUGUGAAGAAGGCCUUCGGGUUGUAAAGCACUUUCAGCGGGGAGGAAGGCGAUAAGGUUAAUAACCUUGUCGAUUGACGUUACCCGCAGAAGAAGCACCGGCUAACUCCGUGCCAGCAGCCGCGGUAAUACGGAGGGUGCAAGCGUUAAUCGGAAUUACUGGGCGUAAAGCGCACGCAGGCGGUCUGUCAAGUCGGAUGUGAAAUCCCCGGGCUCAACCUGGGAACUGCAUUCGAAACUGGCAGGCUAGAGUCUUGUAGAGGGGGGUAGAAUUCCAGGUGUAGCGGUGAAAUGCGUAGAGAUCUGGAGGAAUACCGGUGGCGAAGGCGGCCCCCUGGACAAAGACUGACGCUCAGGUGCGAAAGCGUGGGGAGCAAACAGGAUUAGAUACCCUGGUAGUCCACGCCGUAAACGAUGUCGAUUUGGAGGUUGUGCCCUUGAGGCGUGGCUUCCGGAGCUAACGCGUUAAAUCGACCGCCUGGGGAGUACGGCCGCAAGGUUAAAACUCAAAUGAAUUGACGGGGGCCCGCACAAGCGGUGGAGCAUGUGGUUUAAUUCGAUGCAACGCGAAGAACCUUACCUGGUCUUGACAUCCACAGAACUUUCCAGAGAUGGAUUGGUGCCUUCGGGAACUGUGAGACAGGUGCUGCAUGGCUGUCGUCAGCUCGUGUUGUGAAAUGUUGGGUUAAGUCCCGCAACGAGCGCAACCCUUAUCCUUUGUUGCCAGCGGUCCGGCCGGGAACUCAAAGGAGACUGCCAGUGAUAAACUGGAGGAAGGUGGGGAUGACGUCAAGUCAUCAUGGCCCUUACGACCAGGGCUACACACGUGCUACAAUGGCAUAUACAAAGAGAAGCGACCUCGCGAGAGCAAGCGGACCUCAUAAAGUAUGUCGUAGUCCGGAUUGGAGUCUGCAACUCGACUCCAUGAAGUCGGAAUCGCUAGUAAUCGUAGAUCAGAAUGCUACGGUGAAUACGUUCCCGGGCCUUGUACACACCGCCCGUCACACCAUGGGAGUGGGUUGCAAAAGAAGUAGGUAGCUUAACCUUCGGGAGGGCGCUUACCACUUUGUGAUU